rnacentral:rRNA from 1 species
AUUGAACGCUGGCGGCAGGCCUAACACAUGCAAGUCGAGCGAGCGGCGGACGGGUGAGUAAUGUAUGGGAAACUGCCUGAUGGAGGGGGAUAACUACUGGAAACGGUAGCUAAUACCGCAUACCAUCAGAUGUGCCCAGGUGGGAUUAGCUAGUAGGUGGGGUAAUUGCUCACCUAGGCAACGAGCCCUAGCUGGUCUGAGAGGAUGACCAGCAACACUGGAACUGAGACACGGUCCAGACUCCUAGGGGAGGCAGCAGGAGGGAAUAUUGCGCAAUGGGCGAAAGUCUGACGCAGCCAUGCCGCGUGUGUGAAGAAGGUCUUCGGGUUGUAAAGCUCUUUCAUCGGGGAAGCGUUACCCGACGAAAAAGCACCGGCUAACUACGUGCCAGCAGCCGCGGUAAUAC